UUGUGCAAGAUGGAGAAGCAGGGCACGUGCAAUACUACCUCAUGAACACACGGCGUGUGAGCUCGGAGAUCAAUCACAUUCUUUUCUGCUUCAUUUGACCAACCCAGAGAGAUCCUAUGAGUUAGUCCUUCAUGUGCCCCCCUUCCCCAUCAUGACAAC
rnacentral:pre_miRNA from 2 species